UUUUUUUUUUUUAGCUUGUCAGCUAUCGUUAGUGUUAGUGUAUUUUAUGUGUGGCCCAAGUGAAUUCUGCUUCUUCCAGUGUGGCCCGCGGAAGUCAAAAGAUUGGCCAACCCUGUUUUAUGCAAUGUCUUCCUGAACUUCAUCUCUCCAGCCUGGACAAAGCUCCACGAUGAAGUCUAUGAAGCCACAUUUUGGACAGAGGCUGAAUCUAAGGACCAUUUGGAAGAGAUCCACCCAAUAGAUUAGCUUAAAGAAGACUAUCUGGACAACUUGUUGAUUGACUCACUUUUUGUGCAGAAAUGGAGCCCCUGACAAAUAAAUUUUCAAAGGACAAUAUGGAAAAGAACUAUUUAAGAAAAUGAACACCAUGUAGGAUAUAAAAGGAACAACUAUAAGCUUCUUAAGAAAACCCUCAAAAUGAUAACCACCUCAGAAGAAGUGACAGCUUUUACGCCCAGGGAUUUUGUCAGAAUCUCUUUUCAGCCUCUGCAAAUUAGCACUGGGAAUUCAUACACUGGGACAUCCUCACCUGAAAGACAUGGAAGUCAUGGA